GAUGAACGCUAGCGGCAGGCUUAAUACAUGCAAGUCGUGGGGCAGCAUGAAUGUAGCAAUACAUUUGAUGGCGACCGGCAAACGGGUGCGGAACACGUACACAACCUUCCGAUAAGUGGGGAAUAGCCCAGAGAAAUUUGGAUUAAUACCCCGUAACAUAUAGAGGUGGCAUCAUCUUUAUAUUAUAGCUACGGCGCUUAUUGAUGGGUGUGCGGCUGAUUAGAUAGUUGGCGGGGUAACGGCCCACCAAGUCUACGAUCAGUAGCUGAUGUGAGAGCAUGAUCAGCCACACGGGAACUGAGACACGGGCCCGACUCCUACGGGAGGCAGCAGUAAGGAAUAUUGGUCAAUGGACGCAAGUCUGAACCAGCCAUGCCGCGUGAAGGAUUAAGGUCCUCUGGAUUGUAAACUUCUUUUAUCUGGGACGAAAAAAGGCGAUUCUUCGUCACUUGACGGUACCGGAUGAAUAAGCACCGGCUAACUCCGUGCCAGCCGCCGCCGUAAGAC
rnacentral:rRNA from 1 species